CUCGAGCGUGCCAGCGGAUCCCCUGUUCCAUGAUGAUCACACGGACACCAACGCGGUCACCGGUUUCUCACUCCGAUCAACGAAAUAUCAAUGGCGGCUCGGGGGGCGGAGGUGGGCCAGGAAUGGGGCCUUGUAGCAGCUUGGCGGCAGCUGGGAACCCGGUCAGGUCGAAGCCAGGAGGUGGGACUAUGCCAGCCGCGGUGGCUGUGCUUUGGAGAUAUGCUACCAACCUGCAAGUAGUGUAAGAGUUUGUUUUAUGAACACGCUCAAAGAGAUCGAUGAUGAUGUUGUUCCUUCUUACUUUGAAUUUCUUAUGUUACCUAUAUUAUACUUUCUUUUAAUAAGGG